rnacentral:pre_miRNA from 1 species
UCAUUCGGCUUCGCCAUCAUACGUCCAACCGUGCAUUUGAUAUGCAUAUAUAUGCAUCACGAGCCACGGUUGGGCUGUAUGAUGGCGAUACCGAUUGG